GAUAAACGCUGGCGGCGUGCCUAAUACAUGCAAGUCGAACGAGGGAUCCUUGUAGCAAUACGGGGAUUUCCUAGUGGCGAAUGGGUGAGUAACGCGUUGGUGACCUGCCCCAAAGAGAGGAAUAACUCCGGGAAACUGGAGCUAAUACCUCAUGUGGUUGCGAGAUUUAGAAACUUGCAACUAAAGGAGAAAUCCACUUUGGGAGGGGCCUGCGUCCCAUCAGCUAGUUGGUAGGGUAAUGGCCUACCAAGGCGACGAUGGGUAGCCGGCCUGAGAGGGUGGUCGGCCACACUGGCACUGAAACACGGGCCAGACACCUACGGGAGGCUG
rnacentral:rRNA from 1 species